AGGCGGUACACUUGGACGCGUUAGUCUACGUUACUAAGUCAAUGAAGACCCAACAACUAGUUGACAUCGUUUAGGGCGUGGACUACCAGUGGUAUCUAAUCCUGUUUGCUCCCCACGCUUUCGUGCAUGAGCGUCAGUAUUGGCCCAGGGGGCUGCCUUCGCCAUCGGUAUUCCUCCACAUCUCUACGCAUUUCACUGCUACACGUGGAAUUCUACCCCCCUCUGCCAUACUCUAGCCCGCCAGUCACAAAUGCAGUUCCCAGGUUAAGCCCGGGGAUUUCACAUCUGUCUUAGCGGACCGCCUGCGCACGCUUUACGCCCAGUAAUUCCGAUUAACGCUUGCACCCUACGUAUUACCGCGGCUGCUGGCACGUAGUUAGCCGGUGCUUAUUCUUCCGGUACCGUCAUCCUCCCGCCGUAUUAGGGCAGAAGUUUUCUUUCCGGACAAAAGUGCUUUACAACCCGAAGGCCUUCUUCACACACGCGGCAUUGCUGGAUCAGGCUUUCGCCCAUUGUCCAAAAUUCCCCACUGCUGCCUCCCGUAGGAGUCUGGGCCGUGUCUCAGUCCCAGUGUGGCUGGUCGUCCUCUCAGACCAGCUACAGAUCGUCGCCUUGGUAGGCCUUUACCCCACCAACUAGCUAAUCUGCCAUCGGCCGCCCCUGUAGCGGGAGGUCCC
rnacentral:rRNA from 1 species